CAAUGAACUUGCCUUAAAUAAGUCAAAGUGGGACAGGUAAAAGAGCUAUACGAUGAAAUAUGACUUCGUUCACCUCACUGAGCGGUGGAUACAGUUAGACUAUGAUUUGUAACGCCAGUGUGUACAGGUGACCUAAUUUGAUGUUGUUGCGGUCCAAUCUGAUUAUAUUAUUAAAUGAACAUUUCAAAUUUAGUGACGUUAUAUGACUGGGUUGUUAAAUUACUGUUCAUUCUUAUGCUGCUGUCAGUUUACUGUUUGGUUGUUUCUGAUGUUCUAUCAAACUCUGCAUUUUGAUAUAAGAUUCUUGAACUCUUUUAUGCAUUUUGAUCUGGCUCGUUGUAUGGUUUGGUAUAAGAUGGACACGCUUGUGUAUCCAUUACGUGCAUCCAUGAGCGGGCCUACCUUAUCAAGAUUGUCUCACAUGAUACUCUUACUUUUUAUGUGUUAUUGAUGUAUGUACAUGACGUUGGAGUGGCUUUACACCUACAUUCAAUCACAGUAAACUUGAAUCACCGGAAGCUUGUAGGCUUUACGUCACAAACUUGAUGCGUAGUUACUUGUUUAGAAUUUUCCCAAGUUUUUGAAGAAGCUGAUAACUCUAUGAAGGUGAUUAUUAGCAUUUGUUUUGUUCUGAAGCAAACAUAUCCCUUGCAUUCACAUUUUGUAAGCAUGUCAUGAUUACCUGGCCAUGCAAGAUGUUUAUGCCUAGAGAUUAGCAUAGCAGCACUCUGGAUUUUGGAAGGUUAUAUCGUUCCCCGUUGAUGCGGUGACAGAUACAUAUGGAACAUUUCUACCUGAUGGAACAGCUUUACAGUUUCAGCAGAUUCUGA